rnacentral:rRNA from 1 species
GCCUACGGGGGGCAGCAGUAGGGAAUCUUCCACAAUGGGCGAAAGCCUGAUGGAGCAACGCCGCGUGGGUGAAGAAGGUCUUCGGAUCGUAAAACCCUGUUGUUAGAGAAGAAAGUGCGUGAGAGUAACUGUUCACGUUUCGACUGUAUCUAACCAGAAAGCCACGGCUAACUACGUGCCAGCAGCCGCGGUAAUACGUAGGUGGCAAGCGUUAUCCGGAUUUAUUGGGCGUAAAGGGAACGCAGGCGGUCUUUUAAGUCUUAUGUGAAAGCCUUCGGCUUAACCGGAGUAGUGCAUUGGAAACU